rnacentral:rRNA from 1 species
AUUGAACGCUGGCGGCAGGCUUAACACAUGCAAGUCGAGCGGAGCGAGGGUGCUUGCACCUUAGCUUAGCGGCGGACGGGUGAGUAAUGCUUAGGAAUCCGCCUAUUAGUGGGGGACAACAUUCCGAAAGGAAUGCUAAUACCGCAUACGCCCUACGGGGGAAAGCAGGGGAUCUUCGGACCUUGCGCUAAUAGAUGAGCCUAAGUCGGAUUAGCUAGUUGGUGGGGUAAAGGCCUACCAAGGCGACGAUCUGUAGCGGGUCUGAGAGGAUGAUCCGCCACACUGGGACUGAGACACGGCCCAGACUCCUACGGGAGGCAGCAGUGGGGAAUAUUGGACAAUGGGCGGAAGCCUGAUCCAGCCAUGCCGCGUGUGUGAAGAAGGCCUUUUGGUUGUAAAGCACUUUAAGCGAGGAGGAGGCUCUUAAGGUUAAUACCCUUGAUGAGUGGACGUUACUCGCAGAAUAAGCACCGGCUAACUCUGUGCCAGCCGCCGCAGUAACAC